AUAGCAGUGAAAACGCUGUUUAGGAGUACUAAAAAAGGAUUAGAAGAGUUGAAGAAUGAAGUAGUAUUAGUAGCUAAGCUUCAACACAGGAAUCUUGUUAGGCUCUUGGGCUGUUGCUUGGAUGGAGAUGAACAGAUUCUCAUUUUCGAAUACGUGCCCAACAAAACCCUCAAUAAGUUUCUGUAUGAUCCAACUAAGCAUGCAUGUUUGGAUUGGGAAGGGUGCUACAAAAUCAUAGGAGGGAUUGCAUGUGGGUUGCUUUAUCUUCACGAAGAUUCUUGGCUUAAGAUUAUUCAUCGAGAUCUCAAGGCAAGUAAUAUCUUGCUAGAUGGGGAGAUGAAUGCAAAAAUUUGGUGUUGUUUAUGCCACCGUCUAUUGGAACUAUAAUAACCAAUCUUUGACCCUUUUUCA